CCUACGGGAGGCAGCAGUGGGGGAUAUUGCACAAUGGGGGGAACCCUGAUGCAGCGACGCCGCGUGGGUGAAGGAGUGCUUCGGCAUGUAAAGCCCUAUCGGCAGGGAAGAAGCAAGACGGUACCUGACUAAGAAGCCCCGGCUAACUACGUGCCAGCAGCCGCGGUAAUACGUAGGGGGCGAGCGUUAUCCGGAUUCACUGGGUGGAAAGGGAGCGUAGACGGCCAAGCAAGCCAGGGGUGAAAGCCCGGGGCCCAACCCCGGGACUGCCCUUGGAACUGCAUGGCUGGAGUGCGGGAGGGGCAGGCGGAAGUCCUGGUGUAGCGGUGAAAUGCGUAGAUAUCAGGAGGAACACCGGCGGCGAAGGCGGCCUGCUGGACCGCGACUGACGUUGAGGCUCGAAAGCGUGGGGAGCGAACAGGAUUAGAUACCCCUGUAGUC
rnacentral:rRNA from 1 species